GCCGCAUUAGCUCAGUUGGUAGAGCAAUUCACUUGUAAUGAAUAGGUCACUGGUUCGAUUCCUGUAUGCGGCUCCA
rnacentral:tRNA from 1 species